rnacentral:rRNA from 1 species
UACAGAGGGUGCGAGCGUUAAUCGGAAUUACUGGGCGUAAAGCGUGCGUAGACGGCUAUCUAAGUCGGGUGUGAAAGCCCCGGGCUCAACCUGGGAAUUGCAUUCGAGACUGAAUAGCUAGGGUACGGUAGAGGGAAGUGGAAUUUCCGGUGUAGCGGUGAAAUGCGUAGAUAUCGGGAGGAACACCGGUGGCGAAGGCGGGUCUCUGGACAGUUCCUGACGCUGAUGCACGAAGGUCAGGGGAGCAAACGGG